rnacentral:tRNA from 1 species
GGAGAGGUGUCCGAGCGGCCGAAGGUGACAGACUCGAAAUCUGUUGUGGCGCAAGCCACCGGGGGUUCGAAUCCCCCCCUCUCCGCCA